rfam:Actinobacteria bacterium OK074 ctg20, whole genome shotgun sequence.
CUUCAACGAGCCCAGCCACAACGGCCGUUCGGCAGCACGACCUUGGCCGUACGUGGCAAGCAGCGCCUGGGCCUC